rnacentral:lncRNA from 1 species
CAUGAUCCGGUCCAACAAGAACAUCAAUAUUGAACAUGGAAGUCGUUACACCAUUUAAUCGAUGUAAGACCACUCCACAGCUACAAAUGCUAACAUCCUUAUCGACAUGGAUCCCCAUCCUCCAACCAAUGUGGUAGUAUGUAGUAUGAACUUAGCACCAAAAUGUGAUCAAAGGUGUGCUAAUUCAUAUUGGUCCUCAUAAAUACUUCAAAAGAAGUCACAUGUCUCAAAAGAGACUCACAUCAUGUCUUUAUGCAUUAUAUCUCGAGAUCAAAAUGAUAUCAUAAUAAAAGACAUAUGUGCAAUGCAUGCUCAAACAUAAUUAUAAUUUCUGUGCACAAAAUACAGAAUUAUAAAUAGGAAGAUAAAUAUUUUUAUAAUUGAAAGAGGUUGUACCCGAAGCAUAUGGGUUGCCUACAUACCCUGUAAAAAGGAUCAAGCCAAAAUAUAGUUCUUUUACAUAAAUAACUCCCACUAACCAAAAACAUCAAAGGUUUCCACA